UUGGUAAACUCUCGGAAAUAUUAGCUAUUUGUUAUUGGGCUAAAAAUAGGUCUAAUUUUUUGUUUCGUGACAAUCGACUCAUAAAACUACUAAGUUGAGUGAGACCGCAGUCCAUAAAAGACUUAACGAUAAGAGGUUCAAUAAUAGACCUAACGUUCAGAUAGGUUGAGUCAGAUCGAAAUUCGUGAGUGCUGUGGUUGAGUCCUUAAGUAUGAUGAGUGUGUUCUUUCUAUCAGCAUAUAUUUUUGGGAUAGUUGAUUCGUAAAAAAUUCCAGACUUCCAUAUUUGCUCGCGUUCGAAGUUCUUUUUAAUAUAUACUCGUAAAGUUAGAUUAUGUUGGUAAAUUAUUAUAAUAGUUGGUAUUUCUGUUAAAUUAUUAUUUUACCAAUUCAAAUAUAUUCUUUAUUACCAUCCAAUUUCUUAUUUGAUCUUAAAAUGCCAAAUAAUUUUCUUAUCUCCAACGGUUUUUUUCCAAUAACCAACUUCUUUAUAGUUACAUGUAAGUAAUCACAACAUCACAAAUUUAUGUUACAUAUAAAUCACUAACAGAACUAACUUCAUAUGUAUAUUUAGAAGAACUUGGAAUGUUAAAUUUUUUUUUUUUUUCAUACAGAUAAUCACAUAUGGCUCUCUGCAAAGAUAUCAAUAGCAAAUAUGUCCCUACAAAACUUAAAUUAUUAAAUUUAUUCCCUCAAAAGUUCUUUCGUUUGCAAAUAUAUUAUUUUUUUACCAAAAUUUAGAUAAUCAUGAGUUAAAAAAUAACAACAAUUAGUUAAGGGGUAAAAUGACCUUUUUAUCUCUUAUGUCUUUUUAUUUUUUAUCCACAGCGACGACGAGACCUAUAACCACAUGCAAUGACAUCGAACUUGAGUUCUCGGUCAUGACAAAAAUGAGGUGCGCCACACGUGCCACUGUAAAAAAGAGGAGAGAGAAAAAAAUAUAACUUUAUGUAAACAUAAAUUUGUAAGGAAAAAAAAAUUAUUUUAUGGAUCCACUGUUAAAAAAUUAACGAUGAACCAAACAAUAAGUACAUAUAUGAACGAAUUAGAACUUUUAGAAAAAUAUAUGUAUAAACAAAACUUUUUUUGAAGGAAUAAUUUUAAUAACUUAAGUUUGUAGGGAUAUAUUUGCUAUUCCAUAUCUCUGUAAGGACUUGUGCGAAAUUAAUCCUUUUCUAUCAACCUUGUAAUGGGGAAAAUAAAGAAUUUAGAUAUUCUUUUUAAAGGGGAUAAUUACUUGUUAAGAAAAUAUAUUAGUAUGUUAGGGGCAAAGAAUAUUUUAACUAAAUUUUAAAUUUGAUAAAAAUUUAAGGUAAAAAAUUUAAUUCGAUAUAACUUAGCAGGUAAAUUAUUUUUGAAUAACGAAAAAAUAUAUUUAAGUUAUAUAUGAAACAAAAAGGAAAAGUAGAGGUAUAUAAUAUAUUUCAGAAAGCUUUUAAAAUAUUUAAAUUUAAAUUUUUUUAAAAAUUAAAUGGUGUAAAAUUUAAAAUUUAAAAAAUUGAAAUUGAAAAAGAGGGCAAAGGGCAAAAUGGUAAAUAGAAGGAAAAAAAAAAAAAGAGAACAAAA
rnacentral:lncRNA from 1 species